GACGAACGCUGGCGGCGUGCUUAACACAUGCAAGUCGAACGGAAAGGCCCUGCUUUUGUGGGGUGCUCGAGUGGCGAACGGGUGAGUAACACGUGAGUAACCUGCCCUUGACUUUGGGAUAACUUCAGGAAACUGGGGCUAAUACCGGAUAGGAGCUCCUGCUGCAUGGUGGGGGUUGGAAAGUUUCGGCGGUUGGGGAUGGACUCGCGGCUUAUCAGCUUGUUGGUGGGGUAGUGGCUUACCCAGGCUUUGACGGGUAGCCGGCCUGAGAGGGUGACCGGCCACAUUGGGACUGAGAUACGGCCCAGACUCCUACGGGAGGCAGCAGUGGGGAAUAUUGCACAAUGGGCGGAAGCCUGAUGCAGCAACGCCGCGUGCGGGAUGACGGCCUUCGAGUUGUAAACCGCUUUCGCCUGUGACGAAGCGUGAGUGACGGUAAUGGGUAAAGAAGCACCGGCUAACUACGUG
rnacentral:rRNA from 1 species